AUCUUUCUAGUAUGAAGCUUAGUAUAAGUGACUUCCAAUCACCCGGUCUUGGUUAAAGUCCAAGGAAAGAUA
rnacentral:tRNA from 1 species